ACCUGCAGAUCUGAAAUUAGUUGCUUCUUUAUUUUCAGAUGCUGCAGUUCUUUAUUACCUGCACGAUCCUUCCGCAGCUCUUUGUUAUCUGCGUCAUAAAGGAAAAACCAAGCAAGAACAUUGGUCUGAGGACACAGCUUCUCUGAUACUAUGUUGCUGCAUCACAGGGUCUCUUGGUUCAUUGCUGUAGGACCAGAAGCCAUCAGUUCCCAUGGCGUGACUGUCAACUAACACACAGCAGCAGCAAGCCAGGCCCUAAGCACACACAUUCAUCAGAGCCCUCAGGAACAGCAGUGUACAGUGAUCGAGAAAUUGGUGUUGCAGAGGGAAGAAUUUCUACCAGGUGAAGACCACAAGCAUGGGUCUUGUUUGACAUAUGUUUGGCAAUAUGUAAUGAGCAUUGAUGCAUGCAGUGCAUUUCCCAGCUCAACUACAAUGCACACUAGAAAAUUCUAGGUGCUACUUUCCCGCAUCCUAUAUGUGCUCUGAGAGGUGCUCUGGAUUACAAAAGUAAAAAUGCUUAGUUUGGAAUUGAUCAAGCUGGCAGUUACCUGCUGUCGUGGCCCAUGAAGCUUCUCCCUUGAUCCCCCUCAGUGGGACAGGGGAGAGAAUCAGAAGCAUAAAAGUGAAAAAACUCAUUAAUUGAGAUAAAAAGUUUGAUAACGCUGGUCAGGGGCAAAUCAUGCUUCCAUUUGCAUCAGUUGUCUUGGGGUUUCUUUUUCUUAAUUUGCUUUUUAUUAUAGUUUAUUUUUUAAAGGGUUUCUGAUAACACAUAUGGACCACAGUACACUCUGAGUUCUACUGUAUGUAUGUGAAAACUGAAUUAUUUCGUUUUCUAUUAUACUUAAAAGGUAUUAGACUUUUGAAAGCCAUUAAACUUGACAAGUUA